rnacentral:tRNA from 1 species
GCCGGUGUGGUGGAAUUGGUAGACACGAGGGACUUAAAAUCCCUUUCCCGCGAGGGAGUGCCGGUUCGAGUCCGGCCACCGGUACCA